rnacentral:tRNA from 1 species
CAGACCCUAUGUCAAUCAGGUAGACGGCCUGCCCUGGAAGCAGGAGGCUGCAGGUUCGAGUCCUGCCACCCAGACCA